GUGGAAGGUGGUGCUCCUGGGUCUAUACACAGUAUUGGCUGUGAGGGGAUUGGCGAAGGGUGCUCCUUUCCAACCAGAAGAAAAGUGGAAGCCUCUAGAUAACCCUAGAAACAGAGACCUGUUUUUCAGAACACUCCAGGCCUAUUUUUCGGGCAGGGGUCUUGAUCUCAGAAAGUUCCCAGCUACUUUCACUAUGAACAAUGAAGGACCAAGGCCUGUCACGUUCUACUCGGAUCCUAUUGCUUCUGCAUUUGCAGAUUAUGAAGAAAGGAGAAAUUCUUUUCCAAAUUAUUUCAAAGGCUGAAAGAUGCUGCUGACCAAGGCGUUAACUUUUGAACUUCAUGUGAAGUGGUAACCUUCUCAGCAAAAUAUUACUGCUUUGACUUUUUAACUGUUACCUGACAACUUAAAAGUUUUCCUCACUGUCACAGGUUUUACCUGUGGAAUCUGAUGCCAUGCUGUAAUUAGCACGUUUGCUGUCUAUUGGCAGAUGUUGUCAUGUUUGGCUGUUGCAGUUUGCCUGCCAGAACAGAAUCGUGUUUGUUUAAACGUUGAAUAAAUGACGAGUGCAACAGAGUGCUUUGAGCUAC
rnacentral:lncRNA from 1 species